rnacentral:tRNA from 1 species
CUAGGUGUAGCUCAGCUGGGAGAGCGCUACCUUGGGGUGGUAGAGGCCGCUGGUUCAAGUCCAGUCACUUAGACCA